rnacentral:rRNA from 1 species
UCCUAUGGGGUGCAGCAGGCGAGAAAACUUUGCAAUGUGCGAAAGCACGACAAGGUUAAUCCGAGUGAUUUCUGCUAAAGAAAUCUUUUGCCAGUCAUAAAACCACUGGUGAAUAAGGGGUGGGCAAGUUCUGGUGUCAGCCGCCGCGGUAAAACCAGCACCUCAAGUGGUCAGGGUGAUUAUUGGGCCUAAAGCAUCCGUAGCCGGCUUUGUAAGUUUUCGGUUAAAUCCAUGUGCUCAACGCAUGGGCUGCCGAAAAUACUGCAUGGCUAGGGAGUGGGAGAGGUAGACGGUACUCAGUAGGAAGGGGUAAAAUCCUUUGAUCUAUUGAUGACCACCUGUGGCGAAGGCGGUCUACCAGAACACGUUCGACGGUGAGGGAUGAAAGCUGGGGGAGCAAACCGGAUUAGAUACCCGGGUAGUCCCAGCUGUAAACGAUGCAGACUCGAUGAUGCAUUGGCAUAAUAGCCAGUGCAGUGUCGCAGGGAAGCCGUUAAGUCUGCCGCCUGGGAAGUACGUACGCAAGUAUGAAACUUAAAGGAAUUGGCGGGGGAGCACCACAAGGGGUGAAGCCUGCGGUUCAAUUGGAGUCAACGCCAGAAAUCUUACCCGGAGAGACAGCAGAAUGAAGGUCAAGCUGAAGACUUUACCAGACAAGCUGAGAGGUGGUGCAUGGCCGUCGCCAGCUCGUGCCGUGAGAUGUCCUGUUAAGUCAGGUAACGAGCGAGAUCCCUGCCACUAGUUGCUAUCAUUAUUCUCAGGAAUAGUGGGGCGAAUUAGUGGGACUGCCGUUGUUAAAACGGAGGAAGGAAGGGGCUACGGCAGGUCAGUAUGCCCCGAAACUCUGGGGCCACACGCGGGCUGCAAUGGUAGUGACAAUGAGUUCCAAACUCGAAAGAGAGUGGCAAUCUCUAAACGCUACCACAGUUAUGACUGAGGGCUGUAACUCGCCCUCACGAAUAUGGAAUCCCUAGUAACCGCGUGUCAUUACCGCGCGGUGAAUACGUCCCUGCUCCUUGCACUCACCGCCCGUC